rnacentral:lncRNA from 7 species
GAAUCACUCUGCUGUAGCAAAACAAUCUUACUGUCAGUUUUAAAAUGAGACUGGUCUGAUCAGACCUUUCACAUAUGGAGGUGCACAGCUGGUUCUGUUGCUUUCAAAUGCAUCCAGAAAUAUGCCCACUGGGACUUCAUGGGGCUGAAUGAGAAAUUAUCUCAUGGAGAAGUUGAGAUAUUUCAGCUAGCAGCGAUGACACUGUUGAAACUACACAGUGAAAUGAAGGUCCAAACAAAAACUUCAGAGAUAAAUCAGUAGUACCCCAGGAGGAGACUUCAUCUCUUGCUUGUCACCAAGGACCUUUGCUGCCGGGCUGCUGCAUCCUGACUCUCUGUGCUUCCUCUCCUCCUGAUCUGUCAGUCUUGACUUGAAAGAUUGCCUGGCUUUGGCAGUAAGUCUGCACAACCCACCGCCCCACCACACACCUCCUUCCAUGUAGGUCUGCUGACUGUUUGGAUACAUCUCACAAAAUGCUACAAGAUGUUCUGCUCUCUAAGAAGCGUACACUGUGCUUGGAUUCAAACAAUUUGAUUUUCUUGAGACAAGAAAAAACACUAAGUGUCACAAGUAACUGCAACAGCACUGCAGAGUUUACCUUAGGCCCAUUAAAAAUCACUGUCAUCAUCUUAAUGUCCCUUCUUCAGAAUACGUCUAACCUUAGAGUAACUAGAAGGCUGCAUUCUCCAAUGAACAAAAAAUCCACCUAAAUAAAGGAAAAACCCUGAGAUUCAUGGUUGAUGGUAAGUAGAAAAUAAAUGAUCUGUAUACUUGGAAGCUGUCUGAAGUAUUAUUUUUUUUUACAUAAGAAAUAGGACAGAACAACAGACAACAGCUUUCAGCUACUUCUUUCCCAUAUAACCUUCUGGACUCAAGGAACCAGGCAAUUUAAUCUAAUAUUUGGUUUAUUUCCUCCAAAGGAAGGAUGAAGAACACUAAUAAAUGCAGUGGUUCCACAUUUACAGAUGAUAAUCAUUCCUCUUUUCUGUUUUUCACCCUUUUGGAAGUUCCUGUGGCUAGUCCUGUUUUUCCACCCAUCUUUCCAUCUGCCUGAGGCUGGCCUCUCCAUUGCACUCACUCACCGGUUUAUGUGGAAGAGUUCCUUGAAAAGACCUGGUUUAAGGAAAUAGAAAAAGACACAUUGCCACUUUUUGCAAAGAAAAAUCAAAAGGUAUGCUUUCCUUGGCUCCUUCAUAUAGACAUUAUUUUUGUUCUUAUUUUCCCAUUCCUAUAAUUGAAAGAGACAUUUUAUAUGCUGAAAACUGUUGGCAUUUCAGCAAGUUUCUUGAAGCAAAACAACCAAGACACACACAACAAAUAACGGAUAACACUGGACUGCAAUUCAUUUGGACAAUUACACAUAAAUACAUUAAGGGAAAUCACAUCAUUUCCCAGAGAGUUUUCAGCAAGAAAAAUAGAAAAAAAUACUUGGCUCCGUAGAGAAAUUGCUUAUCCAGCUCUAGUAGUAACACAUUUAAGAGAUUAAUUUCUUCUGUUGAAAGCUCUUCCGCAAUGGUAGAUCUGUCCUUUUUCUCCCCUGUGAAAUAUGGAAAUGUGCCUACAAAGAUUUGUGAAAAUAAACAGCAUUCUU